rnacentral:rRNA from 1 species
AUUGAACGCUGGCGGCAGGCCUAACACAUGCAAGUCGAGCGGAUGAAGGGAGCUUGCUCCUGGAUUCAGCGGCGGACGGGUGAGUAAUGCCUAGGAAUCUGCCUGGUAGUGGGGGAUAACAUCCGGAAACGGGCGCUAAUACCGCAUACGUCCUGCGGGAGCAAGUGGGGGAUCUUCGGACCUCACGCUAUCAGAUGAGCCUAGGUCGGAUUAGCUAGUUGGUGGGGUAAAGGCCUACCAAGGCGACGAUCCGUAACUGGUCUGAGAGGAUGAUCAGUCACACUGGAACUGGGACACGGUCCAUACUCCUACGGGAGGCAGCAGUGGGGAAUAUUGGACAAUGGGCGGAAACCUGAUCCAGCCAUGCCGCGUGUGUGAAGAAGGUCUUCCGAUUGUAAAGCACUUUAAGUUGUGAGGAAGGGCAGUAAGUUAAUACCUUGCUGUUGUGACGUUACCAACAGAAUAAGCACCGGCUAACUUCGUG